rnacentral:SRP_RNA from 1 species
UCGCAAUAGCCGGGGAGGUAGCGGUGCCUUAUUACCUGCAAUCCGCUAUAGCAGGGGCGAAUGCCUAUAGAAGGUCUUAUCAUGUGUGGUCAGCACUUUUGAUUUGAUGUUGAGGAAAAAGUCUUUUACGAAGAAAAACCACCGAACGGGUCAGAUCCGGAAGGAAGCAGCCAUAAGGCGGACACUUUUCUUGUGUAAGAGGUUCCUUUUUCUGAGUCAAAGAGAAAGCAAGCGCAUGGAUGAUUAGAUCGUAUAUAGGUUUGUGA